rnacentral:tRNA from 1 species
UAGGAAAUAGUGUUAUAGGAAUGCACAAAGAGUUUUGAUCUCUUUAGUUGAGGUUCAAAUCCUCCUUUUCUAA